UUUGCUUCCUUUUCCCUCACUUUUUUUUUUUUUUUUUUGAGCAAAAGCCGUUAGUAUUUCAAAAUUGAAAUUCUCUCCCUUUAUAUAGCCGUCGCAUAAGCUCCUCCCUAAUUUUUCACUCUCUCUUCUUCUACUUCUUCAACCUCUCUCCAUAUCCUCAUCCUCUGGUCCCUUAGAUGUUAGUUAUUCGCGUCUCCUCCUUGUUGAGUGGGAAUACGGAGGCAGCGUCGUAGGUGUUUACGGUUGCAACGUGGAUCGCUAAGGUAAAGUUUUAAUCACGCACACCAUCUGUUUGUGUUUUGGUUCUUUCUAUAUGGAAUUUGGGUUAAAUUCGAUUUUUUUUUUUUUUUUGGGGUUUUCUGUGGUCUUGGAUGGUCUCCGCAUGUGGGAUAAGGAAUUCCAUUCCGUCUCUCGGAGUUGUUUGUUUAUCAGAAACAGAGCCUGAGUUUUGAGACGUUGAAUGACGUGGUACGGAAUUUUGUCAGUGUGGACAGGACUGUUGAUAUCAACUUCCAAAAUUUUCCAAUUUACAAAUCUCAAAAGAUGCAGCCACUGGAGGAAAAUUCUUAUAAAUUAAACGUUGAUGGAGCUUUCAGGUAAAUCUCUUUCCAUUGGGUUGAAGUAGAGAUUAGAAAUUAUAAGGGCGAAGUUAUGAUAGCCAUGUCAAUACAAAUAAAAAGCAUUGUUUAUCUCCUCUUGCAACGGAUUCAAGAGCUGCAGUGGAUAUAUUAGCUUCAACAAAGGUUGUACUUUAUAAUGGCACCAAAGAGGAACUUGCGAUGUCAACCGAAGAAGGGAGUUAAGAAAGUGGAAAGUAAGAGACGCGGUGGUAGCACAGCAGCACCCGACUCUAAGCGUCGACGAACUACUAGGCAUUAAUCCAAAGCUGAGACGGAAAGCGCCAAACUUCGAGGGCACGUUCCACUUUCCUCUCCCCCAUCUGAUAUGCCCAUCGAUGCUCCAAAGGAACGGAUCUUUCAGGAUGCCGAUAUAUUUAAAGUUAGGGCACAUUCAUUCGGGAAUCCAAUAGAAGCGAACAAAGUAAUUACAAGUGUCCUCACAAGUGAGCAGCUGGAAAAGUAUAGACAAACAUGUUUUGGACAUUUACUUGACAUGAAGAACCUCCGGUUCUCUGGUCAGGUAGUGCAUCACCUGCUUUGUAGACAAGUUGUGUCCAACAAUCCAGAAGUACUGGAGUUUAACUUCGGCGGAUCUUGAGUGCGGUUUACGAAGUGGGAAUUCACACUCAUUAGUGGCUUAAAGUUUUGUAGGUACCCUUCGAUGUAUGAUAUGCAAAUUUCCAAAGGAAAUGAGCUGCUCACGAGGUUGCUAGAUGACAGGACUGACUUGAAACCGCCCGACCUGGAACGACUAUUCAAGGGUACGCUUUUUGUGGAUGAUUGGGAUGUUGUAAGAAUUGCGUUACUAUAUUUCUUAGUUCAUGGUAUACUCGGAAUGGAUCCGAAGGUUCAAAUAAAUAGAAAAUUCAUUGAUUUGGUUGCUGAUAUCGAGGUUUUUAAUUCCUACCCUUGGGGCAUUCUGAGCUACAAGGAGACGAUCAACUCAUUCCACAAUGCAUUCCAGCAUAGAGGACGUGCAGUAAAGAAUAAAUCACAGUAUUAUGACCUAAAAGGUUUUCCAUUGGCGUUUCAGUUGUGGGGGUUUGAAGCAAUCCCUGAUUUUGGUAACCAAUUUGCCGACCGAUGGGAAACCCGUUGUCCGAGGAUCCUUGGAUGGCAUGCUACAAGGCAACCGAACAAUUUUGCUGUCCAUAAUUGGUUCACCUCAAAUAGCAAUUAUGUUGUGCACUGGAGGUUAGAUGCUACCGAUGAGGAGAAGACUUUUGAUACUGGCGAACAAUAGCAGUUAACAUACAUGAAGUUCGCUACACGUCACCUCCACUUGUAGCACCAAUAGUUGGCGCUAAAGAUGUCGGCGCUAAAGAUGUUGGCGCUAAAGAUGCGUCCAAAGCUGAGGAGCAUUCUAGUGGCCCUCCAGAUGCUAAUUUCAGGCUUGCUUGCUUGGAGGCAAAAUUUGAUGAAUUAAAAUAAAGAGAUGGCAGCGUUAAGGAAGGUGCUUAAUUCUGUUAUUGACCAACAAAAGCAUCAGGCCGAACAUCAUAUGCACAGCUAUUCACCGUCAUCUUUGGUUCAACCAUCAUCCCCUGUGGCACCGUCAUUUGGAGAGCAAGCCGAAGAAUUUGAUGCACCCAUAGACGGUUCCAAUGGUAGGAAGGAGGAUGAUGAUUGUACUACACCGUUUGAGCCUAUCGUACCUGAAGGACCCUAUGUGGAGGAUUCCUAGGCUUUGGUGCCAUAUCGGCCUUUACAUUUCGGGUGGGAUAUCGGUGCUUCAGCUGACAGUCCACAUCAUGACCAAUCAGCUGAGAUUGAGGUGGAAGAUUGGACGCAUAACAUUGGUGAUACAAGCCGAUUUGGUAGAGUUUACUACCAGUCACAUCACGUCAUCUCUCUUUACACCGACCCGUGUAAAAAAAAGGUCAAAUUUAAUCUUAAUCGACAUAUUGAUGCAUCGAAGGAGAGGGCAUUCGAUGAGUAAUAUAUGGUGGCACCAAAGGAAGCAACCGUGUGUACAUCUUAUAUGACGGUGGGAAAGAAGUUUUUUGCUGAGCUAUUUACCUCUGAAGGAUGGUUGAAUUUCGAUCAUAUUGACACUAUUUUGUAUUUCAUACGAAAAAGGCGGUUUGAGAAUGAGAAGAUGUUCACCAACACCUGUGCCAUAUUAGACGUGUUAUUUUAGUCAUCCAUCAAAGGGUGUUAUCCCAUAUGGAGGGCAUCUCGUAGCACAUAUUCAUGUGAUGCGACCCUUUGUAGCUAUGUGCGUGGGAAGUCACCCAAACCUAGCGUGCCGUGGCGGAUAUGUGAAUAUUGCACAUCCCUGUCAACAAUGGAGGCGCGCAUUGGUUGGCAGCAUGUGUGGACUUGAAUGCCUGACAUAUUGAUUUAUACGAUCCAAAUAUGGGAAAUAAAUAUGUCUAGAAUAAAGAGUUGAAGAAUGCGGAAUGCCUUACGUAUAUGCUGCCUUACCUAUUGAGGGAUGGGGGAUAUUACGAGAAGAAUCCGGACGUGCCUCCCACUUUAGAUCUAUUCACGAUGACCAUGAUCAAAGAUGCACCCUGCCAAGAUAAUGGGGGUGAUUGUGGCGUCUACGCUUUGAAAUUUAUUGAAUACAAGAGUAGUGAGGAGAAUCCUUCAUUUGGCCCGCAAGACAUUAUGUUUUUUAGAAAAAAAUAUGCUGUUGAUUUGUACUUUAAUAAACUUUCAAUGUAGAUCAUAUGUUUAAUGUUAUGACACUCUAUACUAAUGUUAUCUUAAUAUGCUGAA